rnacentral:rRNA from 1 species
UGAGUAAUGUCUGGGAAACUGCCCGAUGGAGGGGGAUAACUACUGGAAACGGUAGCUAAUACCGCAUAACGUCUUCGGACCAAAGUGGGGGACCUUCGGGCCUCACACCAUCGGAUGUGCCCAGAUGGGAUUAGCUAGUAGGUGGGGUAAUGGCUCACCUAGGCGACGAUCCCUAGCUGGUCUGAGAGGAUGACCAGCCACACUGGAACUGAGACACGGUCCAGACUCCUACGGGAGGCAGCAGUGGGGAAUAUUGCACAAUGGGCGCAAGCCUGAUGCAGCCAUGCCGCGUGUAUGAAGAAGGCCUUCGGGUUGUAAAGUACUUUCAGCGGGGAGGAAGGCGAUAAGGUUAAUAACCUUGUCGAUUGACGUUACCCGCAGAAGAAGCACCGGCUAACUCCGUGCCAGCAGCCGCGGUAAUACGGAGGGUGCAAGCGUUAAUCGGAAUUACUGGGCGUAAAGCGCACGCAGGCGGUCUGUCAAGUCGGAUGUGAAAUCCCCGGG